rnacentral:rRNA from 1 species
GAACGCUGCGGCAGGCUUAAUACAUGCAAGUCGAACGGUAACAGCAGGAAGCUUGCCUCCUGGCUGACGAGUGGCGGACGGGUGAGUAAUACCUGGGGAGCUGCCUGAAUGAGGGGGACAACACCUGGAAACGGGUGCUAAUACCGCGUAAGCCCUGAGGGGGAAAGGCUGGGCAACCAGUCGCAUUCAGAUGCGCCCAGGUGGGAUUAGCUAGUUGGUGGGGUAACGGCCUACCAAGGCGACGAUCUCUAGGCUGGUCUGAGAGGAUGAUCAGCCACACUGGAACUGAGACACGGUCCAGACUCCUACGGGAGGCAGCAGUAGGGAAUAUUGCACAAUGGGGGAAACCCUGAUGCAGCCAUGCCGCGUGUGUGAAGAAGGCCUUUGGGGUUUGUAAAGCACUUUCAGUAUGGAAGGAAGUUGUAGUAUGUUAACAGCAUGCUGCAUUGACGUUACAUACAGAAGAAGCACCGGCUAACUCCGUGCCAGCCGCUGC